rnacentral:rRNA from 1 species
UUAUGGCUCAGAUUGAACGCUGGCGGCAGGCCUAACACAUGCAAGUCGAGCGGUAACACAGGAGAGCUUGCUCUCUGGGUGACGAGCGGCGGACGGGUGAGUAAUGUCUGGGAAACUGCCCGAUGGAGGGGGAUAACUACUGGAAACGGUAGCUAAUACCGCAUAACGUCUUCGGACCAAAGAGGGGGACCUUCGGGCCUCUUGCCAUCGGAUGUGCCCAGAUGGGAUUAGCUAGUAGGUGGGGUAAUGGCUCACCUAGGCGACGAUCCCUAGCUGGUCUGAGAGGAUGACCAGCCACACUGGAACUGAGACACGGUCCAGACUCCUACGGGAGGCAGCAGUGGGGAAUAUUGCACAAUGGGCGCAAGCCUGAUGCAGCCAUGCCGCGUGUAUGAAGAAGGCCUUCGGGUUGUAAAGUACUUUCAGCGAGGAGGAAGGCGUUGCGGUUAAUAACCGCAGCGAUUGACGUUACUCGCAGAAGAAGCACCGGCUAACUCCGUGCCAGCAGCCGCGGUAAUACGGAGGGUGCAAGCGUUAAUCGGAAUUACUGGGCGUAAAGCGCACGCAGGCGGUCUGUCAAGUCGGAUGUGAAAUCCCCGGGCUCAACCUGGGAACUGCAUUCGAAACUGGCAGGCUAGAGUCUUGUAGAGGGGGGUAGAAUUCCAGGUGUAGCGGUGAAAUGCGUAGAGAUCUGGAGGAAUACCGGUGGCGAAGGCGGCCCCCUGGACAAAGACUGAC